AACAAAAGAGCUUUAUUUUUUCAUAUAGUUUUGGUUAUUAUAAAUCGAAUACGUUCGAAUCAAAUGAAACAAAACGUCAUAAAUAGACGAUAGACAAAACCUUAUCGUUCGCAUACAAAUUUAUAGAAUUAUAACAAAAUAUAAAUAUAAUACCACCAAAAACUGGAAAAAUGGAUAAAUGCAAUGAUUUAAGAAGAAAACGAAUAGAAGAACUACAUAUGCUCAAUUUCAGAAAUUGGUCGACCAAAUGGAGGCCUUUCCACAUCUAGCUACUAGUACUCCUGUAUUUAAUUCCUCAAAAGCUGACAUUGAAAAUACGUGGCACUCUAUAGCAUAGAGUUUAAACUCUAUAGGUCCUCCCGAAAGAACAGUGGCUGAGUGGAAAAAAACUUGGGCGGACCUUAAAUGUAGAACGAAGCAAAAUGUAGCUGAAAACAAUAAAAGUAUUUUAGGAACAGGAGGGGGACCUUGUCAUAUAAAAUCGUUAACGCCGCUGGAACUGCAAAUUGAUAAAAUUUGCAACCUUUCAUCAGCAGCAGCUCCAAAGGGCCCCGUACAUGGCAUAAAGCCUAGCACACCAAACUCCAUAUCUAGUGAAAUUAUUUUAACCCAAACUGAUUCACCUUUUCCACAGCCACAGAACACAAAAACAACACAACCUUCAGAAUCAAUUACACUUUUCACAACAUCACCACAUCCCAUUUCACCACCCAAAUAUCAAAUAAAAAAACCUUGGAAAAGAAAAGAAAACACUGUCAAGACAAUAAAGAAAAUGAUGAAGAAGUGGAACUUUUACGAAAGCAAGUUGUAACUCAAGAAGCAAUUCUAGGUGCAAUGGAGUCCCAAGCUAAAUAUACACAGGAGCAAUCGAAUACCCUUAAAGAAAUAGCAGGAUCAAUAAAACAUAUUGCCAACACUCUUUCCGAAAUAUUUCAAAAUUUAUGAAAUAAAAACAAAACAAGUAAGAGUGCUAUAUUCGGCUGUGCCGAAUCUUAUGUACCCUUCACCAUAGUGUAUUUUAAA